rnacentral:lncRNA from 1 species
UCAUGGAGAUUACCUCUUCGCCCCUCAGGAGAACGAGACCAAGAGUGCGGCGGUCCUCGCGUUCUUCAUUCUUCUUCGCACCUUUCGCCGGUGGAAGCUUACGAAACUCUUCAAAGCCUCCGAUUACAAGGUUCAUGUGGCGGUCGAAGGCCAUGAACUUGCCGACUAGCUGGCGGCCGUCUUGGAUCGUGACANGAAGGCCAUGAACUUGCCGACUAGCUGGCGCCCGUCUUGGAUCGUGACACUCAUACGGUAAUUGAUGAACUGGAGCAUCUUGGAACCUUUAGACAUCGACAUUUUUGUAGAUCGGUUAGGGUAUCACAGUCACAGGUUACGGGAAU